rnacentral:misc_RNA from 1 species
UCCGGUUUGUCACCGGCAGUCUCGCAUGAGUCCCCAACUAAAUGCUGGCAACAUGCGACGGGGGUUGCGCUCGUUGCGGGACUUAACCCAACAUCUCACGACACGAGCUGACGACAGCCAUGCACCACCUGUGAAGGUGCCCCGAAGGGAAGGCCUGUUUCCAGACCGGUCACCUACAUGUCAAGCCCAGGUAAGGUUCUUCGCGUUGCGUCGAAUUAAACCACAUGCUCCACCGCUUGUGCGGGUCCCCGUCAAUUCCUUUGAGUUUUACCGUUGCCGGCGUACUCCCCAGGCGGAGAACUUAACGCGUUAGCUGCGACACCGACCCCGAAGGGCCAACAUCUAGCACACAUCGUUUACAGCGUGGACUAC